rnacentral:rRNA from 1 species
UACGAAGGGGGCGAGCGUUGUUCGGAAUUACUGGGCGUAAAGGGCGCGUAGGCGGCGAUCCAAGUCAGGCGUGAAAGCCCCGGGCUCAACCUGGGAGGUGCGCUUGGGACUGGAUGGCUGGAGUUCGGGAGAGGAGCGUGGAAUUCCCAGUGUAGAGGUGAAAUUCGUAGAUAUUGGGAAGAACACCGGUGGCGAAGGCGGCGCUCUGGACCGACACUGACGCUGAGGCGCGAAAGCGUGGGGAGCAAACAGGAUUAGAUACCCUGGUAGUCCACGCGGUAAACGAUGUGUGCUAGACGUUGGGGAGCCUAGCUCUUCGGUGUCGCAGCCAACGCAUUAAGCACACCGCCUGGGGAGUACGGCCGCAAGGUUAAA